UGCUCCCUGACGGCGGCAGAGGCAGCCUGGCAGCAGAAGCAGAGUUCCGAGCAUGGGGUGGCGGCUCAUGGAGAAUGGAGUUAGAGUCCAGUAAACCAGACGUGGAAGCUGUUACUCAUCUCCAGAUAAAGGAAACACAAUCUUUGCAAGGCAAGAAGAGGGUAAAACCAUUUGGGGAGGAUUAUUUCUCUUCACCUAUACCCGAAAGGGAGGUCGUGAAGAAAGAGCACAGGCCAAGAAAGCUGUGAAAGAUAUUUGAGGAACAACUUGGAUGUGAACUGCCUGUCAGGAAAGAUGAUUGCCUGUUCAGGGAUGCUUAGAAAAAGCCAGGUCAAGAUGGCGGACGCGAGAAACGGCCUGCGCUGUGUUUACUUCAGAUUCUCCCGCCUACCGCCUGAGGUGCGGUACAUGAAACGUGCGUGCCCUACAAAGAUACCCGGUUUCCGCCAGAACAAAUGAACUCCAUGCAGCAAGACCAGGCCCCUAUGCCUCUGUAGCCGUACCACACAGGACAUCCUGAGAUCACAUUUACAGUCUGAAGACACACAACACACACCAUUCCCUGCCGUGACCUACUGUCAGCAGCCCGUUCAGAAGGAAAGAUGGCUGACCCACACUUUCGAAUGCAGCUCCGAGUGGCUCCUACCAAAGCUGAGAAUCCAGCUCUCAAAGGAGCUGUCGCCCCGGGGCCUUCCUCUGUUCCCAACUGACCCAAGCUGACUUCGAGUGGACUGGAAGGCACUUUGAAGACCAUCCCAGGACCCACAGGGGAUGGAGUUACUGGGUAAGGAGGGGCCUCUUCUCUUCAUAGUGGCAGCAGAGCUGUCUCGUCAAAUGGUUACUUGUCUUUUUUUUUUUUUUUAAAUAAAGUGACAACCUAGGGCUCCAGUUAUGAAUGCAGCUCAUUCUCUACCAUAAAUCUCUAGAAAAUAUCAAUUUCAUCGGUCAUCUACUGUAUGCUUAUAAUAUCUAAAAAUAAAAGUUUGAUAUAAAUAAAUGUCCUUUAGUGGCAGUAUACUAAAAGACCAGCCCCUUGGCCUUUGAGACAACCAUCAAGAUCAUUUUUAGCAAUACAGAUAGCAGCUAACUGUGACAACUGCAAAGAGCUGGUAUUGCAAAGUCCAUUUGGUCUGUCUUUUGUACCUGGCCAGUGAACUGCAGUCAUGGCCAAUGAUUCCCAAGAUGCUGACGCAAAUGGACAGAAUUUGGUCCAUAGCCAAGUGGCUCACAUUCCCCAAGAGCACAGAAAACUCUGCACGGAACCCACUAAUGUCCAGUACCAUUGCAAAUAAACAAUGGAGGGAGCCAGAAACAUGUGUACCAAUAGCAGAGACACAGAGCUGAGAGACAGAUCCACAGGACGAGCAACUAGACCAUGUAAAGUGCUGGAAGACCUCAGUCAUUACCUUAAAGCAGAAAAUUAUACUUUGAUUAUUUUUUCUUCAAAUCCCCAAACAUCAAGACAGUUCAAGCAAACAAAAUUCUAAGUUUUCUGGCAUCCCAGAUGUCAAAUUCGCCUUCAUUUUAGCUAAGGGGGAAAAAAAAAAUCAGUGCAUAUAUAGGAAAAUACGAAGAAACAAAGCUCUACCCUCAUUUCGCAAAUUCUGUCCAAUUGCAAGUUUAAAAAACUUCCUUUCCACUUUGGUGCUUUGAGGCAACAUGAGAACAUGAGACUUAUCUCCUGUCUUCCUUUUUUUUUUUUUCCAUGAAGUACAGGUGCGAAGUCAACGCUUUGGUCCUGAUCCCAGAUAGCCAGAGUGCCAAGGACGGACGGGCGCAGUGAAGACUGUCCACAGGUCAUGUCCAUCUCUGCAGAGAGCAGGGGUGUCACUUCCUGCGGAAGAGAGGAGACGAGACAGCAACCAUCCCUCACUAGAGGACUGUAGCUGUGCUGUGUGAAUGCCACAGCAGAGAAAAGAAAAUGGGUCCUGGUCUGCAGAGCUCAACACUUUCCACAGGAAUGUACUCAUGGCUUCCAUAUGUAAGUUUGAUAAGUCAGUGAUGAUUUUUGGGAGAACACCGCGAAUGUGUUUUUCAGUAAGCAUUGUGGAGAGCUGAGACACUCCACAAAGUGUAUGUGAAGCUUUGCAGUGGUUUUAAGAAGAUGCUCUUGGGUUCCGCAUCACCCCACCCCCACUGCGCCCCAAACUUCAGUCUUUUAUUCACUGUCUGUUCUGUUAGUGACAGACAGGCAACUGCUUGUCUGGCUGAGCCCAUCACUUUCAUGCACAACACCCCAAAUAAAGGUCAUCCUUUUAGAUCCCACAUCCUGGUCUGAAAGUAGGAGGUGCUGGUACAUUCUACCAAGGCAUCCAUCCAGCCUUAAACUCAUGAAGACGAGAUCAGUGUGAGGAAUUUGCUUUCUCCUGGCUCUGAUGUCUUUUCACUUUUGUUUCAGGUAUAACUUCUCAAAUCUGUCUGAACUCUGUCACUGUCUAGUCAACGUGGGGAGGGGGGUAGAGGCACAGGAGAAGGCGCUGGACUGUCAGAAGUGGUCAGCGUGAAGUACAUUGCCAUCCACAGCAGUUAAUGUGGUUACUUGAAGCAUGAUGGCUUUUUAAAAGUGGAGUAUUACGGUGGUUAGAAUCAGAAAUGUCCCCCACAGGCUCACAGAAUUUAACCCCUGAUCCCCAGUAGGUGGCACUGUUUUGGCUUCAAAACUUUUGGAAUUUUGCGUUCCAGCCUUGCAGGAGGAAGUAUGUCACCAGGGAUGGGCUUUGAGGACUCAGAGCCUCACCCUGCUUCCAGGCCACUCUUUUUCACUCCGUGUUUAUGGUUGAAGAUGUGAUUGCUCAGUUUCCU